rnacentral:rRNA from 1 species
CCUACGGGAGGCAGCAGUGGGGAAUAUUGCACAAUGGGGGAAACCCUGAUGCAGCAACGCCGCGUGAGUGAAGAAGUAUUUCGGUAUGUAAAGCUCUAUCUGCAGGGAAGUAGAAAGACGGUACCUGACUAAGAAGCCCCGGCUAACUACGUGCCAGCAGCCGCGGUAAUACGAAGGGGGCAAGCGUUAUCCGGAUUUACUGGGUGUAAAGGGAGCGUAGACGGGUGUGCAAGUCUGAGGUGAAAGUCCGUGGCUCAACCGUGGAACUGCUUUGGAAACUGUAAAGCUUGAGUACUGGUGAGGCAGGCGGAAUUCGUGGUGUAGCGGUGAAAUGCGUAGAUAUUAGGAGGAACACCGGUGGCGAAGGCGGCCUGCUAAACAGAAACUGACAUUGAGGCUCGAAAGCGUGGGGAGCAAACAGGAUUAGAUACCCGAGUAGUC